UACGAAGGGGGCUAGCGUUGCUCGGAAUCACUGGGCGUAAAGCGCACGUAGGCGGGUCCUUAAGUCGGGGGUGAAAUCCUGGAGCUCAACUCCAGAACUGCCUUCGAUACUGAGGAUCUCGAGUCCGGGAGAGGUGAGUGGAACUCCGAGUGUAGAGGUGAAAUUCGUAGAUAUUCGGAAGAACACCAGUGGCGAAGGCGGCUCACUGGCCCGGUACUGACGCUGAGGUGCGAAAGCGUGGGGAGCAAACAGGA
rnacentral:rRNA from 1 species